rnacentral:misc_RNA from 1 species
GAUGAAGAACGUAGCGAAAUGCGAUAAGUAAUGCGAAUUGCAGAAUUAGUGAAUCAUCGAGUCUUUGAACGCACAUUGCGCCCGUCAGUAUUCUGACGGGCAUGCCUGUCCGAGCGUCAUUUCAACCCUCAAGCACUGCUUGGCGUUGGCGGAUUGCGUGCCCUCGCGGCGCUGCAACCGCCCAAAUACAGUGGCGGUCCCGCUGCGGCUCCCUUUGCGUAGUAACUCACCUCGCACUGGACCGGGCGGCGGCCUGCCGUAAAACCCCAACUCACGAAAUGUUGACCUCGGAUCAGGUAGGAAUACCCGCUGAACUUAAGCAUAUCAAUAAGCGGAGGA